rnacentral:ncRNA from 2 species
UAGGUUUGUGCCGCAUUUGGUUUCGCCUGAAGGCGAAUUAAUAGGGAAUCCGGUGUAACUCCGGAGCUAUCCCCGUAGCUGUAAUCCUGUAUCGCAAUACGCGUUCGUUUUUUCCGGUAUACUCUUCAAAGCCACUGUCCGCCCCAGGCGGAACGGGAAGGCCCGGGAAAAGCAGGAGAGCCAGAAGACCUGCCAGUUGCAACAGCUAUAU